rnacentral:sRNA from 1 species
CUGUAUGAUGGAUAUGGGAGUGUCUUC